GAGUGUAGAGGUGGCAGGGUAGCCUAGUGGUUAGAGUGUAGAGGUGGCAGGUAGCCUAGUGGUUAGAGUGUAGAGGUGGCAGGUAACCUAGUGGUUAGAGUGUAGAGGAGGCAGGUAGCCUAGUGGUUAGUGUAGAGGUGGCAGGUAGCCUAGUGGUUAGAGUGUAGAGGUGGCAGGUAGCCUAGUGGUUAGAGUGUAGAGGUGGCAGGUAGCCUAGUGGUUAGAGUGUAGAGGUGGCAGGUAGCCUAGUGGUUAGAGUGUAGAGGUGGCAGGUAGCCUAGUGGUUAGAGUGUAGAGGUGGCAGGUAGCCUAGUGGUUAGAGUGUAGAGGUGGCAGGUAGCCCAGUGGUUAGAGUGUAGAGGUGGCAGGGUAGCCUAAUGGUUAGAGUGUAGAGGAGGCAGGUAGCCUAGUGGUUAGAGUGUAGAGGUGGCAGGUAGCCUAGUGGUUAGAGUGUAGAGGUGGCAGGUAGCCUAGUGGUUAGAGUGUAGAGGUGGCAGGGUAGCCUAGUGGUUAGAGUGUAGAGGUGGCAGGUAGCCUAGUGGUUAGAGUGUAGAGGUGGCAGGGUAGCCUA